rnacentral:rRNA from 1 species
AACAUCGCCCCCUGCAAAAUCAAUGUAUAGGGGGUCCUGCCUGCCCGGUGACAACUUGUUAAACGGCCGCGGUAUUUUGACCGUGCUAAGGUAGCGCAAUCACUUGUCUUUUAAAUGAAGACCUGUAUGAAUGGCGGAACGAGGGCUUAACUGUCUCCCUUCUCCCGUCAAUGAAAUUGAUCUGCCCGUGCAGAAGCGGGCAUAUUUAUACAAGACGAGAAGACCCUUUGGAGCUUAUUGGGGCGACCACGGGGGAAAACAAAGCCCCCAUGUAAAACCAAGAGAGACAUCUCUAAGCCACAGAACAUCUGACCAAAAGAUCCGGCUCACAAGCCGAUCAACGAACCAAGUUACCCUAGGGAUAACAGCGCAAUCCCCUCCAAGAGUUCAUAUCGACGAGAGGGUUUACGACCUCGAUGUUGGAUCAGGACAUCCUAAUGGUGCAGCCGCUAUUAAGGGUUCGUUUGUUCAACGAUUAAAGUCCUACGUGAUCU